rnacentral:rRNA from 1 species
UGGGGAAUAUUGCACAAUGGGGGAAACCCUGAUGCAGCGACGCCGCGUGAACGAAGAAGGUAUUCGUAUCGUAAAGUUCUGUCCUAUGGGAAGAUAAUGACAGUACCAUAGAAGAAAGCUCCGGCUAAAUACGUGCCAGCAGCCGCGGUAAUACGUAUGGAGCGAGCGUUGUCCGGGAUUAUUGGGCGUAAAGGGUACGCAGGCGGUUUAAUAAGUCGAAUGUUAAAGAUCGGGGCUCAACCCCGCAAAGCAUUGGAAACUGAUAAACUUGAGUAGUGGAGAGGAAAGUGGAAUUCCUAGUGUAGUGGUGAAAUACGUAGAUAUUAGGAGGAAUACCAGUAGCGAAGGCGACUUUCUGGACACAAACUGACGCUGAGGUACGAAAGCGUGGGGAGCAAACAGG